GAAACAAAAAAAAAAAAAAGGCAGCCAGGAAUUAGCCGUAACCGCCGCUAGCAGACGUACACUGGACGACAACAAGAUUAGUGCAACCGAAAGGACACAGCGCCAAUGAGUCCACUUCUGAUUUUACGCAGAGGAGCUGCUUUUUGUUUCGUUCGAGUUCGUUUUUUGGCGAGAGCAAAGUCACCUUUAUCAUUUUUUUGUCUGCGGUAAACGAGAGCGUAGAUAACUUUUUUUUUUUUUUUCCCCCUCUUCGACUUCCGACCUUGGCUCCCCCCCAUCAAGUCAUUUGGGUCGCGACUUAAACUCAACUGAAUACUCUUAUGCGGUCAGCGGGGUUCUGAGCCAUGCCUGGCCACAGCACCGGGGCCCCGCAGGCAUCCCGCCACCACCACCACCACCCCAAACGUCACACCUCCAGAGCCGACAAGUACAGUCAGGCCCCAGCUAUAUUCAGGGAAAACAAAACCAGCCACGACUCCUAUAAGGAUCCCUACAAGCAGCAGCAGCACCAUCAUAACGACCGCUCCCGCUACUCUGAGAGCAGACGCGGUAGCAAAGCGCCGCCCCGCAACGGCGCCGGACGGGGCUCGGAUACUAUUGGCUUCAUUCCUGGCUCGGCGGACAACACGCCCACCAACAGACAAGCCUGCGGCUCCUGCGCCUCCAUCGGGUGGAGCGGCUGUAAGGCCCUUAUCUGUUGCGUGUUGACCUGUGGAUUUUAUGGCAGCCGAGAGCCUUGCCUGCCCGUUAACGAGAGCUCCACAGACAACCCCCCGAAAGCAAGUAUUGAAUCCCAUCCUCCUAAUGGCGUGGCCGGGACCAAAUCCCCCGGUGGCGGCAUCUCUUUCGAGCCCAACAAGUCCGCUAAAGCUGUUAAAUUGUUGCCCACGAGCGACAGCUUCCGCUACCCGGACGUGCGCAUCGCCGGUCGCUCGGUGAGGUAUCCGGUAAUGGCCUCCAAGAGGACUCGAACCUCGGGCCGGGGUGAACCCCAGCGGCCAAUCAGCAACACCAGCCUGUUAUCCCGCGAGGACUACGACUUGGACGACCGGAGCGACGCGGGCACGGAUAUCGACUCGCUCAUCACCAAGAAGCUGCUGGAGCUGUACGCCCUGCAUCAGAUCGACCAGCUGGCCAAGUGCACUUCGGACUCGUCGUUCUCGCGCAAAACCAAUGAGAUCAGCGAGCUCAUCUACAGCAUCGCUCAGGACUACAACCUGGAGGAGCAGGAGGCCGAGUGCAAGCUGGUGCACGGCGUCAUCCGCAUCAGCACCCGCAAGGGCAAGAAGAACAAGCGGGGCAAUCAUUCCGCGGGGCAGCGUCCCAACGGCCGCAGCGACGGCACUCUGCCGGACAGCGGCAACGAGACCAUGACCAACACCUUCGUGAGCAGUGACUUUCCAGAGGUGAAAGUGUCGGAGCAGACGCCGUCAGAUGAGCUGGCCAGGAAGAUGAGACAGCACAGCGGCAGAACGUCGUCCUCCGGCAGCGGCGCGGCCCUCUCGCCCUACCUGCACGACACCGGAACCGACUCGUCCGGCGCGCCGCUCCUCGCGCUCUAGCGACGCGGGCCGCCUUGACGUCUUUUUAUCUUCCCGCCCUCAUUAACCGAAUGCUGUUACACACGACGAGCCAAUACAAUAUUUCCAUUUGAUUCCAGUCAAAUUCCCAUGAGAAGUUCAAACUUCCCCAAUUUUUUAUUUUUGAUUUUUUUUUUUAAAUGCUGCUAAUGUUCUACGUUUUGAUGUAUUUACCUCCAAUGUUGUUUUUAUGAUUUUUUUGUUUUUUUCCUCCUGUGCGCCGGGAUUUGUUACAUGUGUCACGUUGGGGAAAAAGAUGAACGUCUGCACUCCAGCCGGGUUUGGCAGUCAUUGCGUCGGAAUGUAGAAAAUGAUUGUCGCCAGAAGAUUUACACAAGCGAUUGUUCAACUUUUGUCAGGGCUCGGUGGCCUUUAAACGCCACAUUAGCAUGUUUUGGCUAAUGGAUUCAGACAUAUCUCCUUGUAAAUAUUGUUUUUUUUUUCGUUUUUUUUUUGCUGCAUGGGUUGUUAAACCAGUUGUGACAUUUGUAUGCAUUUUUUUUUCAAAGUGGUGAAUGCUGUUUUGGACAAAGUUAAAAAUCUCAUGUUCAAUAAAGAUGUGUAUUUGUAUGUUGUUGACUUUCUAGUCUCUCUGCACGUAUUCGUGUGGUAUUACACACACACACACGAGAGCUGUAAUAAUAUGAAUAUUAAAUGCAGUUUCUUUUCACUUUC